UACGAAGGGGGCUAGCGUUGCUCGGAAUCACUGGGCGUAAAGCGCACGUAGGCGGCUUUUUAAGUCAGAGGUGAAAUCCUGGAGCUCAACUCCAGAACUGCCUUUGAUACUGGAGAGCUUGAGUCCGGGAGAGGUGAGUGGAACUGCGAGUGUAGAGGUGAAAUUCGUAGAUAUUCGCAAGAACACCAGUGGCGAAGGCGGCUCACUGGCCCGGUACUGACGCUGAGGUGCGAAAGCGUGGGGAGCAAACAGGG
rnacentral:rRNA from 1 species